UACGGAGGGUGCAAGCGUUAUCCGGAUUCACUGGGUUUAAAGGGUGCGUAGGCGGGCAGGUAAGUCCGUGGUGAAAUCUCUGAGCUUAACUCAGAAACUGCCAUGGAUACUAUUUGUCUUGAAUAUUGUGGAGGUAAGCGGAAUAUGUCAUGUAGCGGUGAAAUGCUUAGAUAUGACAUAGAACACCAAUUGCGAAGGCAGCUUACUACACAGUUAUUGACGCUGAGGCACGAAAGCGUGGGGAUCAAACAAG
rnacentral:rRNA from 1 species